rnacentral:lncRNA from 1 species
UGCCAUCCCAAAAUAUUUCCCCAUGGCAGGAGAUGUGGUAAGGUGGAUAGAAUGCAAUCUCUUUAUUCCCAUGAUUGGUUCUGAGCCAUUUCAGAAGCAUCCCAGUAGGUGGGAGCGGAUAUACAUUGGCCAGGAAUCUGCCUCCACUACUGCAGUGUGGUAGUGCCAUCCCAAAAUAUUCCCCCAUGGAAGAAGUUGUUUUAAGGGGGAUGGAACGCAAUCUUCUUUUUCCUGUGAUUUGUUCUGAGCCAUUUUGGAAGCAUCCUGUUACCUGGGAUUGGGCGUAAAUUGGCCUGGAAGCCACCUCCAAUUCUGGAGUGGGGGAGUUCCAUCCCAAAGUAUUCCCCCAUAGCAGGGGAUGUGGUAAGGUGGGUGGAACGCAUUCUCUUUUAACCUGUGAUUGGUUCUGAGCCAUUUCUGAAGCAUCCCAUUUCCUGGAACGGCCAUCUGGUGGCCUAAAAGCCAUCUCCACUAUGGGAGCAGGGUUGGGCCAGGCCAGGAUCCUCGCCCGUGGCAGGAAAUGUGGUAAAGUACAUUGAAUGCAUUCUCUUUUUUCCUCUGAGUUGUUCUGAGCCAUUUUUGAUGCCACCAAUUAUCUGGGAGCGGUGCUAAGGUGGCCUGGAUGACGCCAACCCUAAGGGAGCAGCAUUGUGCCAACCUAAAAUAUUCCCCAGUUGCAGGAGAUGAGGUGGACACCACCAAGGCUCCCCUUCUUCAUACCCUCUAUCCAGUGGGACAAAUGGUCUCAGAAGGCCAGGCUGGUAGGGCAUUGCUGCUGGCUCAGUGAUGGACACCACUGUGACUGGCCCCAGGGCGCCCACACCUGUGAGGUGCCCAGACCAGGCUCUUUCUCCUGUGACUCACCCUGGUGUGCCCAAUCCUGCCCCACCCCUGCCCCACGGCUCCUCCUCCAGAAUCCAGGCCCCGCCCCUCUCAUUACAGCCCAAGGAUACCCACAACUGAAGUGCCUUGGCUCCACCCCUGCCAUGACCUGCCAAAUUGUGCCCAAUCCAGGUGCUUUGGAGCUAUGCAACUCUUCCUCCUGAACCCAGGCCCACCUCUUGGUGUGACCGGCCCAGGCCCCACUCCUCCCAUGACCCAGCCCCAGGACACCAAAGCUGAGGUGUCCUGGCCACGCCUCUCCAGUGAACAAGCUCCAACCCUUACGGUAAGCCACCCUGUUGUGCCCAAUCGUAGCGCUCUUGGGCUACACUUCUCUUCUUGAACCCCACCCAUCCCAUGACAGCCCCAGGAUGCCCAAGGCUGAAGAGCCUGGCCACGCCCCUCCUCAUCCUGUAGCCAGGCUCUCCCCCAUCUGGCAACUCUCCCUGUUGUGGCCAAUCUUGGUGCUCCUUGGCUAUGUCCCUCCUCUUCAUGAACCCGCCCCCUGCUGUGGCCCC